rnacentral:lncRNA from 1 species
AUCUAAACACCAUCCAAUGGCCCAAAUAUGUGGCACCCCUUUCAGAUAUGGAAUGGGAAUGAAAGCAAGCAUGAGAGACCUGAGAGUCCAUAACCACCUGGACUCCAGUGGCAUAUAGAUAAGGGUGCAGCUAAGAUAGAAUCAAAUCAAUAUUUGGUUUCUUUUCUUAUCCAACCAACUAUCCAACUCAUGGCCGACCAAAACACCACAUCUAAGAAGGAAUAUGCAUGGAAUAU